AGAGUUUGAUCAUGGCUCAGAGCGAACGCUGGCGGCAGGCUUAACACAUGCAAGUCGAGCGGGCGUAGCAAUACGUCAGCGGCAGACGGGUGAGUAACGCGUGGGAACAUACCUUUUGGUUCGGAACAACACAGGGAAACUUGUGCUAAUACCGGAUAAGCCCUUACGGGGAAAGAUUUAUCGCCGAAAGAUUGGCCCGCGUCUGAUUAGCUAGUUGGUGAGGUAACGGCUCACCAAGGCGACGAUCAGUAGCUGGUCUGAGAGGAUGAUCAGCCACAUUGGGACUGAGACACGGCCCAAACUCCUACGGGAGGCAGCAGUGGGGAAUAUUGGACAAUGGGCGCAAGCCUGAUCCAGCCAUGCCGCGUGAGUGAUGAAGGCCCUAGGGUUGUAAAGCUCUUUUGUGCGGGAAGAUAAUGACGGUACCGCAAGAAUAAGCCCCGGCUAACUUCGUGCCAGCAGCCGCGGUAAUACGAAGGGGGCUAGCGUUGCUCGGAAUCACUGGGCGUAAAGGGUGCGUAGGCGGGUCUUUAAGUCAGGGGUGAAAUCCUGGAGCUCAACUCCAGAACUGCCUUUGAUACUGAGGAUCUUGAGUUCGGGAGAGGUGAGUGGAACUGCGAGUGUAGAGGUGAAAUUCGUAGAUAUUCGCAAGAACACCAGUGGCGAAGGCGGCUCACUGGCCCGAUACUGACGCUGAGGCACGAAAGCGUGGGGAGCAAACAGGAUUAGAUACCCCCGUAGUCC
rnacentral:rRNA from 1 species